UACGGAGGGUGCAAGCGUUAUCCGGAUUCACUGGGUUUAAAGGGUGCGUAGGUGGGCAGGUAAGUCAGUGGUGAAAUCUCCAAGCUUAACUUGGAACUGCCGUUGAUACUAUUUGUCUUGAAUACUGUGGAGGUGAGCGGAAUAUGUCAUGUAGCGGUGAAAUGCUUAGAUAUGACAUAGAACACCAAUUGCGAAGGCAGCUCACUACGCAAAUAUUGACGCUGAGGCACGAAAGCGUGGGGAUCAAACAGG
rnacentral:rRNA from 1 species